rnacentral:tRNA from 1 species
UAGAAAGUGGUGUAGUGGAAGCACUAAGAGUUUUGAUCUCUUGAGGAUGGGUUCGAAUCCCUUCUCUCUAG